GACGAACGCUGGCGGCGUGCUUAACACAUGCAAGUCGAACGGAAAGGCCCUGCUUUUGUGGGGUGCUCGAGUGGCGAACGGGUGAGUAACACGUGAGUAACCUGCCCUUGACUUUGGGAUAACUUCAGGAAACUGGGGCUAAUACCGGAUAGGAGCUCCUGCUGCAUGGUGGGGGUUGGAAAGUUUCGGCGGUUGGGGAUGGACUCGCGGCUUAUCAGCUUGUUGGUGGGGUAGUGGCUUACCAAGGCUUUGACGGGUAGCCGGCCUGAGAGGGUGACCGGCCCCAUUGGGACUGAGAUACGGCCCAGACUCCUACGGGAGGCAGCAGUGGGGAAUAUUGCACAAUGGGCGGAAGCCUGAUGCAGCAACGCCGCGUGCGGGAUGACGUCCUUCGGGUUGUAAACCGCUUUCGCCUGUGACGAAGCGUGAGUGACGGUAAUGGGUAAAGAAGCACCGGCUAACUACGUG
rnacentral:rRNA from 1 species